ACAUGGAGAAUGCCAUGUCAUAAGAGAGGCAGAAAUUGAAGUGAUGCAGCUAUACGCUAAGGAACACCAAAGAUUAACAGCCACCACCAGAAUCGAGGAAGAGGCAUGAAAGAAUUCUAACCAGGUCUCAGAGGAAGCACGGCCCUGCUGACACAUUGAUUUCAGACCUCUAGCCUCCAGAAUUGAGAAAGGGGGCUGUACCAUUUUGCAUUUCUACCAGCAAUGACGGAGCGUUCCUGUGGGUCCUCAUUCAUGCCAACAUAUGGGCACAGUGGCUCAUGCUUGUAAUCCUAGC